rnacentral:rRNA from 1 species
AGCGAACGCUGGCGGCAGGCCUAAUACAUGCAAGUCGAGCGCACCUUCGGGUGAGCGGCGGACGGGUGAGUAACGCGUGGGAACGUGCCCUAAGGUACGGAACAACUGAGGGAAACUUCAGCUAAUACCGUAUGUGCCCUUCGGGGAAAGAUUAUCGCCUUAGGAGCGGCCCGCGUUGGAUUAGCUAGUUGGUGGGGUAAAGGCCCACCAAGGCUACGAUCCAUAGCUGGUCUGAGAGGAUGAUCAGCCACACUGGGACUGAGACACGGCCCAGACUCCUACGGGAGGCAGCAGUAGGGAAUCUGCGCAAUGGGCGAAGCCUGACGCAGCCAUGCCGCGUGAAUGAUGAAGG